AGAGGAUUCAGACAAAGUUAACCAUAGUUGCUCAUUUGCUCCAUGUCAGUAAUGCUGUUCUUGUUUUGUCUGUGGCUUAUCUGCCUCUUAACAGGUGAUGCCUCUAGUGAGGGAAUAGCACCAGUCUCUCCGAAUGCAUUUGUCUCAGAAGGGAACACCGUCACCCUGUCCUGCAAUUACAACGGAUCAGCUGCUACAGAUGCUCUCCACUGGUAUCGUCAGUACCCGAGAUCCAGACCAGACUUCCUGUUUCUAGUUAAUGAAGCUGCAUUUAGACAACAAGCUGACCCUCCAAUUCCUGGAAUAUCUGCUAGAUUAAAUGAGGAGAAAAACCGUGUGGAUCUGGAGAUCGAUGGCACUGCAUUAACUGAUUCUGCUCUGUACUACUGUGCCCUGCAGCCCACAGUGACAGGAAACACACAUACACUGUACAAAAAUCAGACACAUUAAAAUAGAAUUCAGUGUCUGUGCUCGGGGGGUGAUUAUAAAUGCUUAUAUUUGAAAAUGUUGGUCCAGAAUUGUGUGCCAAUGAGUUUCAAUUGUCAUUGUGUUCAAGAAAUCAGAAUACUGAAAUGCAUUUAACUAGAAGUUCUUACAGUUCUUACCAGUAUGCAGUCUACAUUUUGACACAUCUUAGUCUUAAUUUUGUCAGUGCAUCAGGAGCAUUAUUAUUAUGUUGUGCUGCACAAUGAGGAAUGUUUUCUGACAUUUCUCAUUACAUUCAUUAUUAAAGCAUUUUCUAAUCUGUGAUCUAAUCACUUUUACCACUCACAUUUGUUGUCAAAAAGUUGCCAUUUUGAUAUGAUGCCAAAUGUGAUGAUUAUGAAUAUACUAGACUACCUAUUCACAUAUAAAAUACUACAUAUUAGUAGUCAAGAUGGAUUUUUUUCAAAUUGGUUUAUCACGAUUUUUCGGCACCAACAAACAUACCGAUCCAGGAACAUGUUGCACUUGAUAAAAUCAGGUUCUGCAAUAUAAACCCUUCAAGAUACCAUGCACCUUUUUUUUUUGAGAGAGAGAGAGAGUGUAUCAUUUUAUGAAAUUAUAAUCACAUAGCAAUGAAGUGGGUGGAGCUUCAAGAUAUUGUGUUGGGGUUCAUCUCUAAACUGACUUCAGUCUGUU